rnacentral:lncRNA from 1 species
CGGGUUGUCAUGGACGGGCACUCCAUAUCUUCUGUUGUUUGGAUUCAAGAACCUAUCAACGUUCCGUACUGGUUGCAAAGGAGGAGGUCUUUGCUCAACUCUAGUCAUCCUUUCCCCAAGGUCUUGCCGCAUAACCCUCAUCUCUUCUCUCAAAGCGUUGAGGACUUGCAUCAUGGUAGCUUGCUCACUCGCUUCUCCCAUGUAUGCGGUUGAGUUGUACCUUGCAAGAUAAACAAGAGAUGCCUUAGCUUUUCAAUAGGUAAAUAAGAAAGAAAACGAGAAAGAAAAGAUACAAAUUUCCUUUUUUUUUUUUUUUUAUAAAUUCGAAUAGGCAAUAGACACUAAUAAAAGCUGUAGUAGUAAUAGAAUUGGAAAGACUUGGAAAAGGUGAUCGACCGGGAAGGAAACAAUUUGAAAACUCUUUGCAAAAAUGGAAACCGAAUUAUGCAAUCCUAGCAACACGUUUUUAUUUUUUUUUUUUUUUGACUUGAUGAAGAUUAAAACUAAGCAGAACAGGAUGUAACAAUCGGAUGCAAGCAAGAUGUGAAGAAAACAACUAAGUGCAACAAUGAAACGCGAUCUCUUUAUUUGGUUUUAUGAUUUCAUGAAAGCAGAAACAAUGAAUCACAAAUCGGAUGCAAAUAGAAGAGACAAGGAUAGAUAUAACCUGAUGCUGAAGGAACUUCAGCUCUGAUACCAGAAAUGAUACAAGCCUAAGCUAUCAAAGGCUGUACGUUCCCAAGCAAGAGAGAAGGAGCCGAUCUAACACAAGGGUGAUCCGGAUGGACUGAUCUAAUCAACCAAGGGAUCUGAACUGGAACUGUAUGAUGGGAUGAAGUGCACCACACGAGAGAUGGGGAGGCUCGUGAUACAACACAAGGUUCCUCUAGG